GAUGGCCUCAGCUAUGACUUCGAGGGCACCUGCACCUAUGUGUUCACAGCCAGCAAAAGGCCAGCAGAUGUGCACUGUCCUCCAACCAGCCUCUUCAGGUCCUGUGGCUCAGCCUGUCCUCCAUCCUGUGAAUUGAAUGCCACUGUCUGUCAUGAGGCCUGUGUUCAGGGCUGCUUCUGUGACCCUGGCUUCCUCAGGAGUCCACAGGGCUGUGUGCGUCCACAGGGCUGCACAGACUCUAGAGGCAAAUACUACAGCCUCAACUCAACUUUCUAGAUUCCAGACAACUGCAGUCCACUCUGUUUUUGUGGACUAGCUACUGGAGAGGUCCACUGCCGCCCGGCCCAGUGCCCAGGAGGAAUGCUCUGCAAGCAGCUUCAUCACAGGAGGGUGUGUCAACUGGAAAAUCCCAGAACUGAACCAUUGUUACCGGGCUGCAUUUUACAACCUUUGAUGGACAUAAAUUUGACUUCAGAGACGUUUGUGAAUACUUAUUAGUUCAAACUAGAUCCAACCCGACUGUACCAACACCAUUCAGUAUCAAGAUCUCUGAUGCAAGUUGCCACAAAAGGCUUUUUCAUAGCCAAACUUUAACUCUCUAAAUCUAUGGUUUGGCAGUUGUCGUAAGAAGACGACCCAGCAAAAGUUUUGAUGGACGGCCUGUAUAAACCCUUGCCGUACUCUCACCAGACGUGACAACAGUUAUGGCUCCUCCGUCUCUGGACUUUGUGGCAAUGCAAACAGUGACCCUCAGGACGAGCAAAUGAUGUCCACUGAAGAGCUUGCCCAGAACUGGAGGUCUCCUGGAGCAGAGACCUGUAGGUCCAACUGUUUGUCUGCCCUGAAGCAUUGUCCUGUUGAGGCAAAGAAGCUUUUUGAAGGCAGAGUUGUUGAAUAAGCUCGGGCCGUUCUUACUUCUACAGCUGUUUGGUGGAUACCUGCUCUUUUGCUGGACAAUAUUCAGCCCUCUGCAAUUCCAUUGCAUCUUAUUCUGCCGCUUGCCAAGCAGCUCAGGUGCCCAUCAGACACUGGAGGAGUGACACUUUCUGUGGUGAAUACAUGUUACUUUUUUAG